AGCUGUCCACUAAGAAGUUUAUAUUUCAGAUGAGGAGUCUGUGCGUCUGAGAAUCGUUGUACACGUCGGUGGCUUGCAUAUAUAUAUAUGAGUCAUGUGAUAGAGAAAAAGGGGAAGACAGAGAGAAAAAUGAAAAAUAAGAAAAUAGAAAAAUCUAUAUCAGACACGGCAUGCCGUAUUAAUUCAAAAGGCACUCUCCAGCAAUGGAGACGACAAAAAUUAUCUGUUCUGGAAAUGGAUACUUAAGCAUCCAGACAUGCUAAAGAUAGCUGGACCAAUUUUGCUCGGGAAACUUCUCUCUUCCUGGCCACCUUGAAUUUAGACGACCAAGUUCUAACAAUAUUGAACUUCUGAAAAGCGUAAUAGAGAAGAAUCAAAAACAAACUGCACGAUAAUUAGCAAAACAAUUUAGU